rnacentral:rRNA from 1 species
ACGGGAGGCAGCAGCUAAGUAUAUUCCGCAAUGGACGAAAGUCUGACGGAGCGACGCCGCGUGGAUGAUGAAGGUCGGAAGAUUGCAAAAUCCUUUUAUAACUGAGGAAUAAGCAGUGUGAGAGAAACGCAUUGCGGUGACUGUAGGUUAUGAAUAAGCAACGGCUAAUUAUGUGCCAGCAGCCGCGGUAACACGUAAGUUGGGAGCGUUGUUCGGAAUUAUUGGGCGUAAAGGGUAUGUAGGCGGUUUUGCAAGCUUGAUGUGAAAGGCAGGAGCUUAACUCCUGGACUGCGUUGAGAACUGCAUGACUAGAGUCACUGAGGGGCAAUCAGAAUUCCUGGUGUAGGGGUGAAAUCUGUAGAUAUCAGGAAGAAUACCAAUGGCGAAGGCAGGUUACCAGCAGAUGACUGACGCUGAGGUGCGAAGGUGCGGGGAGCACACAGGAUUAGAUACCCUGGUA